UUUGCAAGAUUUAAAGUAAAAUGACGUAAAUGAAGUAAAAGUCAUCUAAAGAUGAAGACCUUAACUUUUACUGCAAAACAGGAACAGUCUAGUCUCUGUCCCUAAAUAAUAUGUUUACUCAGUGAAGGUCCUACUCUGUAACUAUGCUAUCUAAAAUCUCUGUUAUAAUGUGAUGAAACCCGACUCCUAUGGUGAGUUGCUAUGUCUAGUAUAUUACAGUACUAAAACUGAUAGGAGUCAAUAAUAGUUGAAGAUUUUACAUCAAUUUAUUCUGCAAUUAUUGUUUGGACAAAAUAUAUUUGACUGCAUUUUGUAACUAUGUCACACAAAUUUUUAGCCUACUGCCAUGUGUUGAUACAAUGAAUGACUUUGAAGAAUAAUGGAGUUUUAAUAAAAUACCCCCAAAAAAUGUUUGGGAAAAAUA